rnacentral:lncRNA from 1 species
ACGAAGGGAAGAAUCCCAGUGGGCGGCUGAAGACAUAAUCGGAAGAGCUUGGGACAAGAACAUCGGACUCGAAUUCCAUUUCUGAUGAUCAAGACCAGGGCAACUGAGCACCCCACGAUGCUGCUGCUACUGUCCGUCGACCACCACCAACGCCACCAUCCCGCCGGAAUUCACCGUCGCCGUCUACGAAGUUUGCGGAGAGAACCCUGUAAGUUAACGUUUUCCUUUACAUUUCAGCUUUCUUUCAGAGCAUGUCUGCCGUGACUUUGUCUAUUUCAUCCUGCUGAUUGUUCAUGAUUUUAGCAUGCGCAUGUUUCUUGGAUUGAUUGGACUGUGUUCUUUUGUACAUCUGAUCAAAU